CCAUAUUAGUUGAAAGACAGAAAAUUGAAAGACUUCGAUCCUCUUUCCAUAUAUUUAGCCCUCAUCCAACCAAACAAACUUCCCCCAAUCAAUGCCCUUUCCUUUUGCCCUUCCAUCUUCUUUCAAUAACCCAAUUAACAAAACCUUCAUCUUGUGUGUGUGUGUGUGAGAGAGAGACAAUAGAAAUGGAUCCACCACAGGUAGAGACCAUGGACAUCUCCAGCAAAAGUUAUCCCCCAAUUGAAGAUGAACAGGACAAAAUAGUUGACCAGUGUUGUUCUUGCUUUUACGACUGUACUAAUUGCUUGUUGGACUACUUGUGCUGCUAUGAUUUCUGGUGUUCUUAGGGCUACACAUUAUAUAACUACUCUCUAGAAUGGAACUUGUAGUUAUGUUCUUUCGCUUUUGCACUGCAUUACUUCAUUUAGAUCAAAGUUAUUUGUCCAUCUUAUAUAAGUUCUAAUUAGAAUUUGAGACGGUCAAUGUCUUCUUCAUUGUCAUCUUUUUCCAAUUAAAUAUAUGGUUAUGAUGGUCCAUAA